CGCCUCUUGCAUGACUUAGUAUAAGAGGUCCUGCCUGCCCUGUGACCCUAGGUUUAACGGCCGCGGUAUUUUGACCGUGCAAAGGUAGCGCAAUCACUUGUCUUUUAAAUGAAGACCUGUAUGAAUGGCACGACGAGGGCUUAACUGUCUCCUUCCCUUGGUCAAUGAAACUGAUCUGCUCGUGCAGAAGCGAGCAUAACAACAUAAGACGAGAAGACCCUGUGGAGCUUUUAGACGUAUAAGUGGAUCGAGUAAAGAAGCCCAAUUUAACAGAUAAAACUAAACGAAGCCCACCUAAAUGUCUUUGGUUGGGGCGACCACGGGGAAACACACAACCCCCACGAAGUAAGGCAUUAACCUUAUAACCAAGAACAACAGUUCAAAGCAUCAAAACAUUUGAACUUAAGAUCCGGCAAAGCCGAUUGACGAACCGAGUUACCCCAGGGAUAACAGCGCAAUCCCCUUUUAGAGUCCCUAUCAACAAGGGGGUUUACGACCUCGAUGUUGGAUCAGGACAUCCUAAUGGUGCAGCCGCUAUUAAGGGUUCGUUUGUUCAACGAUUAAAGUCCU
rnacentral:rRNA from 1 species